GAUGAACGCUGGCGGCGUGCCUAAUACAUGCAAGUCGAGCGAACAGACGAGGAGCUUGCUCCUCUGACGUUAGCGGCGGACGGGUGAGUAACACGUGGAUAACCUACCUAUAAGACUGGGAUAACUUCGGGAAACCGGAGCUAAUACCGGAUAAUAUAUUGAACCGCAUGGUUCAAUAGUGAAAGACGGUUUUGCUGUCACUUAUAGAUGGAUCCGCGCCGCAUUAGCUAGUUGGUAAGGUAACGGCUUACCAAGGCAACGAUGCGUAGCCGACCUGAGAGGGUGAACGGCCACACUGGAACUGAGACACGGUCCAGACUCCUACGGGAGGCAGCAGUAGGGAAUCUUCCGCAAAGGGCGAAAGCCUGACGGAGCAACGCCGCGUGAGUGAUGAAGGUCUUCGGAUCGUAAAACUCUGUUAUUAGGGAAGAACAAAUGUGUAAGUAACUAUGCACGUCUUGACGGUACCUAAUCAGAAAGCCACGGCUAACUACGUG
rnacentral:rRNA from 1 species